CUGUACUUGCUUCAGCAGCACCAAUACUGGAAUUUUACAGAGAAGAUUAGCCUGGCCCCUGAGCAAAGAUGGCACACAAAUUUGUAAAAAAAAGAAAAAUUUC